AAGGAGCUAGAUGUUAUAAGGCAAGCAUCAAUGAAGAGAGAAUUCAAGGAAAAGGCUUUAGCAGAAGAGAAAGAGAAAUUGCAGGCUGAAUUAUUAUCUAUAAGACAAAGAGUAUCUGAGUAAGGAGAGAUGUGAUCUCUCUCAUCGUGUGAGGGAGAAUGAAGAGAAGGUGGAGACAUUACUCUGCAGACUCAACGAUUGUAAGCAAUCAAAGGAAGAGAUCUAUGAGCAAAUGGUUAAACAAAGACAGGAGCAGAAGGAUGAUUAUGAGUCAAGACUACAGCAUGAACUGGAGUCACUG